rnacentral:rRNA from 1 species
AGAAUGAACGCUGGCGGCGUGCUUAACACAUGCAAGUCGAGCGAGGCCAGGGGGGCAACUCCCUGAGUCGAGCGGCGGACGGGUGAGUAACACGUGGGUAACCUACCCGGAAGUGGGGAAUACCUCGGGGAAACUCGAGCUAAUACCGCAUAACAUCUCGAGGACGAAAGUUCUUGUGAUCAAAGCGGGGCCGCAAGGCCUCGUGCUACCGGAUGGGCCCGCGCCCGAUUAGCUAGUUGGCGAGGUAAUGGCUCACCAAGGCGACG